ensembl:lncRNA
CCUUCCAAAAUACUAAUUCAUAUUUCCUCUGUGUGCAGCUUAUCUUUUGAAAUUGGAUCUUUUGUUCCUUCUUAUUCCUCCUGUGAGAAUGUCAGUGGAAAUGCAGAUGCAAUGCGUUGCUCCCAAUAUAGCACCCUUUGGUCAAAUCCAGAGCCACCAGGCUGAACAUCCUGUAGCAGAAUCUUGCAGGUGCAGAUGUGGACGUUUGGACAAACUGUUCAUGUGGAUAGUCCUCAUUGCUGUUUUUGCGAUCAUUGGACUCUACGUGAUCAUUUUGCUACUGCUUUAUUACAACAACAACUUUUCAUGAGUUCAUCCACAAACCACUGAGCAAAAGACAAUAAAAGUGUUGUUGUUCAAUGUCAAAAUACGUAGUCUUCAUUCUCACACUGGGUUAAUGCGAGAUGUACUGGUUAUGGACAAAUCAAGUGUGUGAUCAUGUAUGAGUUGUAUAGUUUUAAUGUUUUUUUUUUGGGAACAGAAUGGUGUGUAUGUGUAAGUUUGGUGAUGGAG